rnacentral:rRNA from 1 species
UACGAAGGGGGCUAGCGUUGCUCGGAAUCACUGGGCGUAAAGGGUGCGUAGGCGGGUCUUUAAGUCAGGGGUGAAAUCCUGGAGCUCAACUCCAGAACUGCCCUUGAUACUGAGGAUCUUGAGUUCGGGAGAGGUGAGUGGAACUGCGAGUGUAGAGGUGAAAUUCGUAGAUAUUCGCAAGAACACCAGUGGCGAAGGCGGCUCACUGGCCCGAUACUGACGCUGAGGCACGAAAGCGUGGGGAGCAAACAGGG